AUCUGGGCCAUGCAGGACAGUGGAUAUAAGUAUCUUACUAUUUGGGGAAAUACACCAAAUUUGUAGUCAAAUAGGAGUCCGGUGUAUGCAUAAAUUGCCGGCAGCCCGUGUAUCAGCACCUGCUCAGAGAAAAGUAACAAUAGCAAAAUAAAAUAGAAUAAUUGACUUGAAGAAAAAAUAAAACGUGACCUCCAUGCAUUCCUCGAUACUACCGAGCUUUUCGUAUAUAUUCAGCACCCAAACAACUAUAAUAAAUUAGAUAGAGGACGCAGAUUGGAAUCAUUAAAAUGAGAAAUGAGACUUUCAAAGGUCACGCCCGUAUCAGCAUCUGCUCAAGAGAUUCAAGAUAGCCCGCGUGGGAAAUUCUCCAGAAGCUAUCCUUAAAAUUCCAAUUUUUCCCAGGAAAAUUACACAAUAAAGUGAAACAGAAUGAAAUGACUUGCGUAAAAACCACUCGAGCAUAAAGACCACUUGUUCCUCGAUAACAUCGAGCUUUCCGUAUGCACUCAACAACGAGCCAACCCUGAUAAGCCAAGAUGGAGACUCCAGAUUGGGUUGAUUCUGCAGAGUUUACGAUAUCGUCGAAUUGAAAUAAAAAAUGAUACUUGAAUUUCACACGUCAUAUACAUCAUCGUCCACAUGAUAGCCCAUAAAGCCAUAUAUACUUGCUGAAUAUGCGCAAAUACCGAUGAAAUCACAGCCAUCCCCCGGCAGAAACCUACCACUUUAUCGCCAUUAAAUUCCCCUAAACUCCGUCAAAUACAUUUUCAAUAAAAAAAUAAACUAUCCGCAUGUCUGUAAACUCCCUUCCAUCCCUCGAAGCUCUGAAUAAAAAAUAUCAAUGCAUCCGGGUCUGGAAUGCACGUCAUUCUCGAGGGCAUACAGAGAAAUGCUUUGAGGUUUCGUUGCAUUCUUCAGUUGCAUUCAAAUUUCUCUCCCUCUGAGCUCCAAAAAUGCUGGCUCCUUCCGAGAUAUUGGGCGAUUGUGGGGUGUACAUAGUCCCCUUUACAUAGCCAAAAAUAUUGAAGUGGAUUUUCACUCGCUUAUCAGUCCAUUUAUUUCCAACAGUUCUGAAUUUUACGAAUACCGGGAAAAAAUCCCUUUGAACUCCCAGCCCUUUUUACUCAAUUCUAUUCAUCAGAGUACACGAA